GCUAUCCGCAAGCCUGCGGAGCCCGGCGGGAACUCCCACCAGGCUCCGCAGGCUUGCGGACAGCUGCCUGCAGCCCAAAGCCCGGGCUGUGCACCUCGGGCUUCGGGCAGCUCUCCGCAAGCCUGUGGAGCCCGGCGGGAGUUCCUGCCAGGCUCCCAAGGCUUGCGGAUAGC